UUUUUGUUUGUAAUUUUUUGUAAUUUCAUCGUCUCUCUCUCUUAAUUGAACUCCGCAAAACAGGACACCAGUCGCCAGUUUCUGCACUCCAAGCAACAGCUUUUAUUUUCUAUUGUUAUUAACAUAAACAAGAAACCAAUAAGCUCCAGAUUUUCACUCCGCGCUCAGGUUUUCUCCUCCGUAUUCGAGCUCUUCCAAUGGCUGCCCUGCAUCUCGGUUAAUAAGCAUUUAUCCCUUCACACUGUCAUGUGGGUCAUGAUUCUUCUCUCAAAAAAGGUUACAACUAGGGAUUGACUGACCCUGGUAACCUGGCUUCAGGGAUGAACAUGGAACCAAGAGCAAA